AACUAACGCUGGCGGCGUGCCUAACACAUGCAAGUCGUACGAGAAAGUUCGCUUCGGCGGAUGAGUAAAGUGGCGCACGGGUGAGUAACGCGUGGAUAAUCUGCCCUUGAGCCGGGAAUAACCCAUCGAAAGGUGGGCUAAUACCCGAUAACACUGCAUUGAUUUCGGUCGUGCAGUCAAAGAUAGCCUCUGUUUACAAGCUUUCACUCGAGGAUGAGUCCGCGUACCAUUAGCUAGUUGGCAGGGUAAUGGCCUACCAAGGCUGCGAUGGUUAGCUGGUCUGAGAGGAUGAUCAGCCACACUGGAACUGGAACACGGUCCAGACUCCUACGGGAGGCAGCAGUGAGGAAUCUUGCGCAAUGGGGGAAACCCUGACGCAGCAACGCCGCGUGAGUGAGGAAGGUCUUCGGAUCGUAAAGCUCUGUCAGAUGGGAAGAAAUGCAUGGGAGUGAAUAGCUUUCAUGCUUGACGGUACCGUCAGAGGAAGCACCGGCUAACUCCGUGCCAGCCGCCGCGGUAA
rnacentral:rRNA from 1 species